CCAAUAGCGUAUAUUAAAGUUGUUGCAGUUAAAAAGCUCGUAGUUGAAUUUCGGGAUCAAUAUGCUGGUCGUGCCAUUGGUACGUACUGGUAUUAUUGAUUUCUCCUUUCUGAUGAAUCAUGAUGUCAUUAAUUUGAUGUCAUGGGGAAUCAGGACUGUUACUUUGAAAAAAUUAGAGUGUUUAAAGCAGGCUCGCGCUUGAAUACAUUAGCAUGGAAUA
rnacentral:rRNA from 1 species